GGUGCCCCGGCCUUGGAGUAGCUCCCCAGGCCCGGGCGCUCGCCGCCUUAGUACCCGGAGUGACCCAGGUAGAUAACAAGUCCGGUUUCCUGCAGAAGAGGCCUCAUCGCCAGCACCCUGGCAUCCUAAAGCUGCCGCACGUGCGGCUGCCACAGGCACUGGCUAACGGUGCCCAGUUAUUGCUACUUGGUGAGUAACGGCGGGAAAGCGAGAAGAAACGGGACUGGACCUACAUGCAAGUGAUUCCGCUUUUCAUCUUUGGCCCAUAGGGAGCGCUGGGCCCACUAUGGAGAAUCAGGUGCAAACACUGACCAGUUAUCUCUGGAGCAGACAUUUGCCUGUAGAGCCAGAGGAGUUGCAAAGACGGGCUAGGCAUCUUGAGAAAAAAUUCCUGGAAAACCCAGACUUAUCUCAGACAGAGGAGAAACUUCGUGGAGCAGUGCUACAUGCACUACGUAAAACUACCUACCAUUGGCAAGAACUGAGCUACACUGAGGGACUGAGCCUGGUGUAUAUGGCAGCAAGACUGGAUGGUGGCUUUGCAGCAGUCUCCAGAGCAUUCCAUGAGGUGAAAGUCCCUUAACUUCCAACCUGAACUUUUUGACCAUCAGUUCCCUAUUCAUAAAGUAGUUUUCUAGGAUGGGGAUUCUUGGGACAUUGCAUAUGCAUUUUUUUUUUAAAGAGGAUCUCCGCUGGACAUAGUGGGCUCCUGCCUGCAGUCCCAACUGUUUGGGAGGCUGAGGCAGGAGGAUUGCUUGAGCCAGUUUGAGGCUGCAGUGAGCUGUGAUCUCCACUGUACUCCAGCCUGGUGACAGAGUGAGACCUCAUCUCUUAAAAAAAACACAAAAUAAAGACGUUCUCUUUAUCCUGUGAAAGCUUUCUGUGACCCAAGAAAGGUUUAGAA
rnacentral:sRNA from 1 species